AUUACUUUAGCAUAAGAAUGCAUUAAAUUUAGAAUUUAAGGAUAAAUAUUAUAAUUAUAUUUAAGUAAUA
rnacentral:tRNA from 1 species